CUUAUCUCUAAUCUGAACAACCUUAAAACAAUAAGAAAAACACGUAUUAUUGAUAUUCGCUCAGUAACCAUUAUAAUAUACAAUUACAGCUUUGUUUCAAUGUUUAAACUGUGAGUACUCUUUUGUUUGGCACACAAAUCAAAUUUACGCGUGUAAAGAGUAAUACUGAGAUAAAACAAGAAUCUGGCUUACACUUCUGAAAGAAAAGAUCAUGGAAGAACUAAAUUUUUUUGACAAGCUCUACAGCCACACAGAAUGUGAAUGAUGAUGAAAAGAUAUGAACAACUCAUGACAGGAACUUGAAAAAUGAGAAGUCAAAAGGAAGACUGUGCUCCCACCUCUUUAGGAAGACUUUGUGCUCAAAGUUUAUUUUACCCACUCACAAAUCCUGAAAUAAAUCACUUUACACAAGCUCAAAGUGAUAGUCCAAAAAAAUAAAGCUAAUAUGGUGUAUUCUUUGCUGAUUCAAAUAGCACCAAGGAAAAUAAUGAGUUAAAAAAACAACAUAACUGAUGUUAUAAGAUGUUGAAUUUCAUCAUUACCUGAAGAUAUUUUCUUAAUAUUGUUGUUUACCAUCAUUAUUAUUAUUAUUAUUACAUAAAUUAGAAUACAUUUUUA